UGUGCAAAUGAUGAGGAAACAGACAGGGACAUCAGAUCUUUUAUUGGAGAAAGAUGACUUAGUCUAAUGGGAAUCUCUCUGAUGCAUU